rnacentral:lncRNA from 1 species
GCUACUUUCUACAUAUUUUUAAUUUUUAAAAAUUAAAAUUAAUUUGAUAAUCAUGAUGUCCUACCGACAACAUCACGAGCUAUCAUGCUUUAUUUAUGGCUUUAUAGCUAUUUACUUCUUGAUCGAGGUUCAACUAUCAAUCACCCGAUUCAAGACAUGUUUCACUCUCAAGAGGCACCCUUAUGCAGAUGACUGAUGGU